AAAAGACCCUAAGAAGGCAAGCGAGAUGCUGUUUUCAUGUUGUAGGGAGCCGAAAUUCUUAAGUGGUGCUGGUCGACCCGCAACACUGGAAGGGUGGAUGGUGGCAGCCUUAGCAAGCGCUGGGAUGAAGCAGACCUAGGUCAGCGAUGUAUAGAUAUUAUCACAUUUAAUAUUGUUUUCCCCCUUGGGUAACAGUUCAGCUGAUUGCCAGGAGGAGUUUGAGGUCUGAGCAGUUUAAGUCUCCCGGGGCACUGAGAUGAUUGCGUAGCCCAGCUGUGCCACAGGCCUUCUGGUCAAGAGUGCGGACCUGGAGCCACGCUGGGUGAGAUUUGAACCCAGUGCAGCUGCCUUGUGGCUGAGCGCCCCAGGGACAGUGAGUUCACCUGUCCGGGCCCCUGUCUCCCUGUCUCUAUAGUGGGAGCAAUAAUAGUUGUUAUUUUAUGAAGUUACUGGGGCAACAUGGGUUAGUCCCAGUAGUACAGGGCAUGGCACACGACGUUUCUCACCUGGGUGGAUCGUCUGGGAUAUCGUCCCCGAGGAAAAAUGCAUUCAUGCGUUCAGUCUUCACCCUGUUUCUAGCAGGUGAGGCUAACCAAGACCUGACACGAUCAUACCGUCACUAAUUACAACAGCUGCAGAGAAAGAUGCC
rnacentral:lncRNA from 1 species